UACGGAGGGUGCAAGCGUUGCUCGGAAUUACUGGGCGUAAAGCGUACGCAGGCGGCUUGACAAGUCGGAUGUGAAAGCCCCGGGCUCAACCCGGGAACGGCAUCCGAAACUGUCAGGCUUGAGUUCGGGAGAGGGAAGUGGAAUUCCUGGUGUAGAGGUGAAAUUCGUUGAUAUCAGGAGGAACACCGGCGGCGAAAGCGGCUUCCUGGCCCGAUACUGACGCUCAUGUACGAAAGCGUGGGGAGCAAACAGG
rnacentral:rRNA from 1 species